rnacentral:rRNA from 1 species
CAAUAGCGUAUAUUAAAGUUGUUGCGGUUAAAAAGCUCGUAGUUGGAUUUCUGUCGGUGAAUAUCAGUCCGCCCACAGCGGUAGGUACGUGAUAUUUCACCGGCAUCUUCCUGGGGAAUGUGUCUGCUCUUUAUUGAGUGGUACAUAAGCCAGGACUUUUACUUUGAAGAAAUGAGAGUGUUUCAAGCAGGCAUGCGCCGUGAAUACGUUAGCAUGGGAUAAUAGCAUCGGACCUCGUUCCAAAGCUGUUGGUUUCUUGGACCGAGGUAAAGGUGAAUAGGGAUUGUUGGGGGCAUUCGUAUUUGACUGUCAGAGGUGGAAUUCUUGGAUUGUGUUGCGACGAACUACUGCGAAAGCAUUUGCCAAGGAUGUUUUCAUUGAUCAAGAACGAAAGUAAGGGGAUCGAAGACGAUUAGAUACCGU